GACGAACCGAGCGAACGUUGUUCGGAAUCACUGGGCUUAAAGGGCGCGUAGGCGGGUGGCUAAGUCUGUGGUGAAAUCCGGCAGCUUAACUGUCGAAUUGCCAUGGAUACUGGUCGUCUCGAGGGAGGCAGGGGUGCGCGGAACUAAUGGUGGAGCGGUGAAAUGCGUUGAUAUCAUUAGGAACUCCGGUGGCGAAGGCGGCGCACUGGUCCUCUUCUGACGCUGAGGCGCGAAAGCCAGGGGAGCAAACGGG
rnacentral:rRNA from 1 species